GAUGAGCGCUGGCGGCGUGCUUAACACAUGCAAGUCGAACGAAGCACCUUAUUCUGAUUUCUUCGGAAUGAGAAAUUUGGUGACUGAGUGGCGGACGGGUGAGUAACGCGUGGGUAACCUGCCUCAUACAGGGGGAUAACAGUUAGAAAUGACUGCUAAUACCGCAUAAGACCACAGCACCGCAUGGUGCAGGGGUAAAAACUCCGGUGGUACGAGAUGGACCCGCGUCUGAUUAGGUAGUUGGUGGGGUAACGGCCUACCAAGCCGACGAUCAGUAGCCGACCUGAGAGGGUGACAGGCCACAUUGGGACUGAGACACGGCCCAAACUCCUACGGGAGGCAGCAGUGGGGAAUAUUGCACAAUGGGGGAAACCCUGAUGCAGCGACGCCGCGUGAGCGAUGAAGUAUUUCGGUAUGUAAAGCUCUAUCAGCAGGGAAGAAAAUGACGGUACCUGACUAAGAAGCACCGGCUAAAUACGUGCCAGCCGCCGCGGUAA
rnacentral:rRNA from 1 species